rnacentral:lncRNA from 1 species
GAGCUCGAGCGAGCUUAUGUCAGCUCAAAUUCGGCUUGAAAUUAAUUUCGAGCCUAAAUCUAGGCUUAAGCUCAGCUUGAAAUUAAUUCGAGCCGAGCUCGAGCGAGCUUAAUUUCGAGUUGAGCCGAGCUCGAGCUCUAAACGAGCCGAUUGAAAUUCUCGACAUUAUAUAAUCAAUAAUUUAAUUUUUAUAGAACAUUACCUACAAUUUGAUACAACAUGUCCAAUAGUUCAAAAUACAAAAUAAUUAUAAGAAAUGUGAGCUAGGAUGACUUCCUGACUAGAUGAGGGUCUGAGAGAGAGAGAGAGAGAGAGAGAGGAAAAAAAGUAGGGAUUUGAAAAUUUGAAUGUUAUCAUGUUUUAGGGUAAUGUGCAACAGUGAAAGUCUGAAAGGGAGAGUGUGUUAUGUAAAUUUAGAGUUGGGCUCAAUUGUAUGAUUGUACUUGUUGGGUUUAUUUUAUAGGCCAACAAUAAUAGCCCAAAUUAAAUUAAAGCCUAUAUAUAAUUAAAAUACAUUAUAUUUAUAAAUAUCAUCCCCAUGUUGAUAUCACGUUUUUAGCCAUUGGAUCUACUUUUUGAUUACAAAUAGCCCUUGGAUCAAACACUAUUCCACCUACCACCAUCUACCACCAUCAUCUCAACCUCACAUCUCUCCAUCCAAGGGCUAAAAACACACAAGUAUCACUUGGGUGAUACUUGUAAAAGUAUUCUAGCCCUACUAUAUAUAUAUAUAUAGAGAGAGAGAGAGAGUCCGGCUGCUAUACUUUUAUGAGUAUUGGCUCCUUUAUACUCAUAAGUUUUCGACCCUUAGAUUUAUUCCAUUAAUCAUUUUUAUCCAUUAGAUCAUACUAUUUAACCAACUACCCACUCAACCCUAGGGGACCACUAUCAUUCUAAGUGGGGACCACCAUCAUCCUAACCACACAUCCCAUCAAUCAACGGUUAAAAAUUUAUGAGUACAAGGGGGUCUAUACUCAUAAGAGUAUAGUAACCCCAGCAUAUAUAUAUAUAUAUAUAUAUUCGAGCUUUUCUAGCUUUUCGAGCCUAAUUCGAACGAGCCGAAUAAUACUCAAGCUCGGCUUGAAAUGAUUUUCGAGCCUUUUAUUUUGUUCAAGCUCGGCUCAUUUAAUUUCGAGUCGAGCUCGAGCGAGCCGAAUAUCGAGCCGAACACGAGUCGAACGCGAGCCGGCUCGCUCGUUUGCCAGCCCUAAUC